AGGGAAAUAGCUCAGUGGUAGAGCGCAUGUUUAGCAUGCAGGAGGUCCUGGGUUCAAUCCCCAGUACCUCCA
rnacentral:tRNA from 1 species